rfam:Iguape virus strain SPAn 71686, complete genome
CACAGUCAGGCCGAAAGCCACCACAAGCGGUACAGUGGUGCUGCCUGCAUUAACCGCCCCAGGUGGACUGGGA